rnacentral:tRNA from 1 species
GCGCCUGUAGCUCAGGUGGAUAGAGCGGCGGAUUCCUAAUCCGCAGGUCGAAGGUUCGAGUCCUUCCAGGCGCACCA